GGAAAGUAAAAGUCGUAACAAGGUUUCCGUAGGUGAACCUGCGGAAGGAUCAUUAACAAGUCCUGCUGUGCGUGCUGGCGUGCGCAGAAGCAAUUCUGUGUGCACCACUGGCACGUGCACAUCCGUUCCAUGCGCAUUUGCGUGUGCAUGACAUUUCUGCGAGUCGUCUGAUUGUCACGUGUGCAACUUUAAACAAAACUUUUAACAAUGGAUCUCUAGGCUCUU
rnacentral:misc_RNA from 1 species